AGACUUUGAUGACAUUUAGAGACUUUGAUGACAUUUAGAGACAGGGGACAGUUAGAGAUUCUGAGGACAGUUAGAGACUUUGAUGACAUUUAGAGACAGGAGACAGUUACAGACUUUGAUGACAGUUAGAGACAGGGGACAGUUAGAGACUUUGAUGACAGUCAGAGACUUUGAUGACAGUUAGAGACUUUGAUGACAGUUAGAGACAGGGGACAGUUAGAGACUUUGAUGACAGUUAGAGACUUUGAUGACAGUUAGAGACAGGGGACAGUUAGAGACUUUGAUGACAGUUAGAGACUUUGAUGACAGUCAGAGACUUUGAUGACAGUUAGAGACUUUGAUGACAGUUAGAGACAGGGGACAGUUAGAGAUUCUGAGGACAGUUAGAGACUUUGAUGACAUUUAGAGACUUUGAUGACAGUUAGAGACAGGGGACAGUUAGAGACUUUGAGAAACUGGUAUAGACAGGGGACAGGUAGAGAAUUUCAGGACAGGUAGAGACCCCUCACUUCCUGACAUCUUAAGAGACGCACUAGUGACCGACACCAGUGACCAUGGGUUUUAGCCUCCUCGCCAGCGUGUCCGCCUCCCGUCUCGAGGUCGCCAGUUGAGUCAGGACCAUGCAGUAGGUUCUCGAGAGCAGCAGGUUACACUCGCAGCAUAACACUGAUGGAUUUCCAUAUGUUGUCGACAUACUAAAUUACACCUUCUGAUCCUGCCUUAUUCCACUCCAAGUCCUCACACAUUAAACAAUCACACAGUUGGUCAACGUAAGCUUUUAGUUUGAAAAGUUCUGAAGGACAUUCAAAAGAGACUCUGACCUGCUUGACACCCCUCUGAAAAAGCCAUCAGUAAACGUGUGACUGCAUUCCCCUGAAUUUCCUGAGGGAAAUGAAAAUAAUCCAUAGAUUUAUGAUUGUGGGGACGUCGAGACGCGCAAACACAAUGCAGUAAUUGCUUUUUGUGAAUAUGUCCAAAAGUGUCCUUAUAAUCAAUUUGUUGUACAAGGAAGAAAUACAACUCUCCCCGCACACAUGCCGACUGAGCUAAACGUGCACGAAAGCACCCCAGGAUUUGAAAUAAUUUGGCUAUGCUCAGGCCCACCUUGUGAUGGCUUGAAAAACAUUUGGCGCGAUGCCAGACUUAUUUGUUUUCCCUCUGCCCUAUUGUUUCACGUUCGGAGUUCAAAUUUUUUUCAAAUCAUGGUCUACACCCUAACUUCCCCUUCGGCCAGUUGGCUCCAUGUGUGUGUCUUUGCACAAUGUGAGGUGUGUGUGUCUUCCUGAAGGCCGCAGCCUGAGAGCAACAGGCUGAGUGAGAAAACUGCUCCUCAAAGUUCACUGCAUCUUAUAUAUAACACCUCAAACAUUAUUCUAAUAAAUGUUAAACAUUAUCCUAAUCGAG